rnacentral:lncRNA from 1 species
GGAUGGUUCACAGGGCUUGGACCUGGUGGAGGGUGCCCGGCAGACGUGUGAGAGGGACGGUUCACAAGGCUUGGACCUGCCAUGGAGGGUGCCCAGCAGACGUGGUGUGAGAGGGACAGCUCACGAGGCUUGGACCUGCUGUGGAGGGUGCCCAGCAGGGGGCUGAGCUCUGAGGGGUGGGUGCUCAGUGCACGGGUGCCCCCAGUGUCCUCUGAUCCUGUCCGGUGCCUCCCCCAACCCCCACACCCAUGCAGAACUCCCAGGUCACAUGCACGUAUGUCCAGGGCAUGGGGGUGGCGUGAAGAGGCCUGGUCAGGGCCUUUAGGGGCUGCAGGACGGAAUGGCCGCCUGGGGAGCCUGUGUGGCUGUGCCGGGCAGCCAUCCUGCAUUCCCACCCAGCGCGCAGUCUCCACCUCGGCCCCAGCAAAGCGCUAAGCAGCCGGAGAGACAGCCAGGGCGGCUUCCUGAAGGAUGUGGGAUGGUGGACUCCGGGGUCGAGGGAAUACGCAGGUUCCUGUCCCUCCGGGAGACCUAGAGAAGCUGCACACCCAGGAGCUUUCCAUGACCCGGGAGCAUGAGUGAAUGGGGGUUCCAGUUUGCUGAACUUUGCCGUCUUGUAAGGGUGGGGGCUGACGGCCGACCCUGGGAGGAGGUGACAUCGCCGGGGGAGGUUGUGGGCAACGGUGGAGGAGGAGAGACGGGAGGGGACCAUUUGGGAUGGAGGGGCCUCUUCAGAGUUUUAAAAGGCGUUUGUGGGGUGGAGUUGAGUGUGCUCUGGGCUUGGACACUUGCCGUGGUGCCCCUGGCUGGCCGAGGAGACUGGCUCUGGCCAGGGGCCCCGUCCUGAGAGGUCCUCAGCGUCUGACUCUCGGCCAGGCGCCAGCAAGGAGGGGCCGGUCCCCGGGGCUACCAGGCAGGCACGUGCACAUCGCCAUCGCCACACGCCAACUCCGCCUGGGUUUUACAAAGUCGUUGCCUUAAUGCAUGUGGACAGGAACUCCCUGAGGUCGCCCCAUGCCCCCUGGCUGUGCCAGGUACGG